CUUUCCUUCAGGUACUCAGGAUCAACCAGCACCACUCCGUCUGCAAGGGAAGAGCAGAGCCAGCAGGUUGGGGACAUGGGACCAGGGUUGGGGACAUGGCACAGAGGUUGGGGACAUGGCACAGAGGUUGGGGACAAGCCACAGGGGCUGGGGACAUUGCAUGGGGGUUGAGGACACAGCAUGGGGCUGGGGACGUGGCA